rnacentral:rRNA from 1 species
GGGAAUGCUAUGAGAUGGUCCUGCGGCGCAUUAGCUAGUUGGUGAGGUAAAGGCCCACCAAGGCGACGAUGCGUAGCUGUGCUGAGAGGCAAAACAGCCACACUGGGACUGAGACACGGCCCAGACUCCUACGGGAGGCAGCAGUAGGGAAUUUUCGGCAAUGGGCGAAAGCCUGACUGAGCAAUGCCGCGUGAAUGAAGAAAUUCUUCGGAAUGUAAAAUUCUGUGGUGAGGGAAGAAAGGUAUUAGAAGGAAAUGGCUAAUAUUUGACGGUACCUUACUAGAAAGCCCCGGCUAACUAUGUGCCAGCAGCCGCGGUAAUACAUAGGGGGCAAGCGUUAUCCGGAAUUAUUGGGCGUAAAGCGUGCGUAGGCGGCCACUUAAGUCUGCCGUGAAAGCCCACAGCUUAACUGUGGAGGGUCAAUGGAAACUGAGAGGCUUGAAUCUAGGAGAGGUAAGUGGAAUUCCAUGUGUAGCGGUAAAAUGCUUAGAUAUAUGGAGGAACACCAGUGGCGAAGGCGGCUUACUGGUCUAGAAUUGACGCUGAUGCACGAAAGCGUGGGUAGCAAACAGGAUUAGAUACCCUGGUAGUCCACGCCGUA